ensembl:lncRNA
AAACAAUGGUGGCAUGAGACCUACAUACUGCCCGGUGAGCUCAAUCCCGCCAGGCCUGGCUCUCAGCGUCCUCAGAGCACCUGUCCAGAAGGACUGCAUUCUCCUCAGUAAAGCCGCCCCUCCACUCCUGCCUUCACAAGGCAGCCAGGCCCCAGGCGCCGUGUUCUCGCUCACCUUUCACAGCCACAGAAGCUUCCGGAGGAAAAGAACAGGAAGCAUAUCAACAUCACCCACCACAGAUGAGCUGAGGCUGCAGUGUCAGAGAAGAGGGGCUGCUGUAGGGAGCAAAGUACCAGAGGUCUAGUAUCCACUGUUCCCCCAGCUGGUCACUGCCCUCUCUGGGUUUCAUUUGUCUCUUCUUAAGCUAAAGAUCAGAUGUUCAACCUUCUCAAAACUGCUUUAAAUGGAAAUCUGGGGCAUCUGAAAAUGACUGACAUUUAACUUCUCUUUUUGGAGGAAGCAAUUAGCUUAAUAACUAAUGAGAAAAAUGAAGUUUUGAAAAAAUUUCAAAUUUAUAAUGAAGGCC